GCUUGUCUCAAAGAUUAAGCCAUGCAUGUCUAAGUGUAAAUAAGUCUAUACUGUGAAACUGCGAAUGGCUCAUUAAAUCAGUUAUCGUUUAUUUGAUGAUCUCUUACUACUUGGAUAACCGUAGUAAUUCUAGAGCUAAUACAUGCACAAAAUCCCGACUUACGAAGGGAUGUAUUUAUUAGAUACAAAACCAAUGCGGGGCAACCCGGUUCUUGGUGAAUCAGAAUAACUGAACGGAUCGCAUGGCCUUGUGCCGGCGAUGAAUCAUUCAAAUUUCUGCCCUAUCAACUUUCGAUGGUAAGGUAUUGGCUUACCAUGGUUACAACGGGUAACGGGGAAUUAGGGUUCGAUUCCGGAGAGGGGGCCUGAGAAAUGGCCACCACUUCCAAGGAAGGCAGCAGG
rnacentral:rRNA from 1 species